GACGAACGCUGGCGGCGCGCUUAACACAUGCAAGUCGAGCGGAAAGGCCCUGCUUUUGUGGGGUGCUCGAGUGGCGAACGGGUGAGUAACACGUGAGUAACCUGCCCUUGACUUUGGGAUAACUUCAGGAAACUGGGGCUAAUACCGGAUAGGAGCUCCUGCUGCAUGGUGGGGGUUGGAAAGUUUCGGCGGUUGGGGAUGGACUCGCGGCUUAUCAGCUUGUUGGUGGGGUAGUGGCUUACCAAGGCUUUGACGGGUAGCCGGCCUGAGAGGGUGACCGGCCACAUUGGGACUGAGAUACGGCCCAGACUCCUACGGGAGGCAGCAGUGGGGAAUAUUGCACAAUGGGCGGAAGCCUGAUGCAGCAACGCCGCGUGCGGGAUGACGGCCUUCGGGUUGUAAACCGCUUUCGCCUGUGACGAAGCGUGAGUGACGGUAAUGGGUAAAGAAGCACCGGCUAACUACGUG
rnacentral:rRNA from 1 species